AGGCUUUGUGGACCAAGGGGAUUAGCGCUGCUUUCCUAACACAGGUUAUGUGAUUAUGGUCUUCAGGCUUUGCCUAAUCAGGUUGAGCAGUUGAUGGAAUGGAAUGAUGUUGAGCGGGUGUUCCUUUGACAUUUCAAGAAAUGUAACCUUGAGUAUACAUCUUCAUAUGUAUAUCUCACACGUUUUCCGCUGCAAAACACUUUGAUUAGGAUAACUUUAUGUUAUGAAAUUGUGACACGUGUUAUUGGGUAAACCACCUUAAUCAGUUCUCAUUUAUGUGUAUGUUUUAUAAGUAUCCAAAUAAUCAUAUAUGAUCCUAGCAUUUUAUCUAUGAGUGACAUUUCCAUAUACUUUAAUGUUAA